rnacentral:rRNA from 1 species
AUUGCCCUAGUAACGGCGAGUGAAGCGGCAACAGCUCAAAUUUGAAAUCUGGCGUCUUCGGCGUCCGAGUUGUAAUUUGCAGAGGGCGCUUUGGCAUUGGCAGCGGUCCAAGUUCCUUGGAACAGGACGUCACAGAGGGUGAGAAUCCCGUACGUGGUCGCUAGCCUUUACCGUGUAAAGCCCCUUCGACGAGUCGAGUUGUUUGGGAAUGCAGCUCUAAAUGGGAGGUAAAUUUCUUCUAAAGCUAAAUACUGGCCAGAGACCGAUAGCGCACAAGUAGAGUGAUCGAAAGAUGAAAAGCACUUUGGAAAGAGAGUUAAAAAGCACGUGAAAUUGUUGAAAGGGAAGCGCUUGCAGCCAGACUUGCCUGUAGUUGCUCAUCCGGGUUUUUACCCGGUGCACUCUUCUAUAGGCAGGCCAGCAUCAGUUUGGGCGGUUGGAUAAAGGUCUCUGUCAUGUACCUCUCUUCGGGGAGAACUUAUAGGGGAGACGACAUGCAACCAGCCUGGACUGAGGUCCGCGCAUCUGCUAGGAUGCUGGCGUAAUGGCUGUAAGCGGCCCGUCUUGAAACACGGACCAAGGAGUCUAACAUCUAUGCGAGUGUUUGGGUGUCAAGCCCGAGCGCGUAAUGAAAGUGAACGGAGGUGGGAACCUUUCGGGGUGCACCAUCGACCGAUCCUGAUGUCUUCGGAUGGAUUUGAGUAAGAGCAUAGCUGUUGGGACCCGAAAGAUGGUGAACUAUGCUUGAAUAGGGUGAAGCCAGAGGAAACUCUGGUGGAGGCUCGCAGCGGUUCUGACGUGCAAAUCGAUCGUCAAAUUUGGGCAUAGGGGCGAAAGACUAAUCGA